UACGUAGGGUGCGAGCGUUUAAUCGGAAUUACUGGGCGUAAAGAGUGCGUAGGCGGUUUCUCAAGUCCGCUGUGAAAUCCCCGGGCUCAACCUGGGAAUGGCAGUGGAAACUAGGAGACUUGAAUCUGGGCAGAGGGGGGUGGAAUUCCACGUGUAGCAGUGAAAUGCGUAGAGAUGUGGAGGAAUACCGAUGGCGAAGGCAGCCUCCUGGGCCAACACUGACGCUCAUGCACGAAAGCGUGGGGAGCAAACAGG
rnacentral:rRNA from 1 species